UCAUUUCCUCUGCUAUAAAAUUAGGAUUAACCAGCUUUUAAACAUUUGUGUGUUGUGCUCCAAGGAAAUUCUGCUCCGCUAAAAGUCGUGCUGAAGGAUGUCACUCACAGACAUGCUGGCCACCGUUGGUGGAUUUACUCUGGUAUUCUACCUGCUGAAACUCGCCUGGAGAUGUUGGUGUGGAUUCAGAGAAUAUGUUUUAUCAGAGCACUGGCAAGUGGAUUUAAGGACUUAUGGACAAUGGGCAGUUGUCACUGGUGCCACAUCUGGCAUUGGUAAAGCUUAUGCCAGUGAGCUGGCACAAAGAGGUCUCAACGUUAUUCUGGUAAGCAGAUCUGAAGAUAAGCUUCGGAUGGUUGCCAAAGAAAUCGAGAAUGAGUAUGGACGGAAGACACGUACCAUCCAGGUGGACUUCACAGAAGGCCACAGUAUCUACCCUGCUAUUGCCAAGGAACUAGAGGGCCUGGAGAUUGGAAUUCUGGUUAACAACGUGGGAAUGAUCUAUACUGAUAGUUUUGCCUGUUUUCUGGAGACACCAGAUGCUGAACAGAAAAUCACUCAGGUUAUCAACUGUAAUGUGCUGUCUGUACCUCAGAUGACCAGACUGGUUCUUCCAGACAUGAUUGAAAGGGGAACAGGGUUGAUCAUCAAUAUCUCAUCAGCAGUAGGCGUCCGUCCACAGCCUCUGUUGGCCCUUUAUUCAGCCACAAAGAUUUUUGUGAAAUAUUUCUCUCAGUGUCUGCAUGCUGAGUACAAGUCAAAGGGAAUUUCAGUCCAGUGUGUGGUCCCCGUCCUCGUGUCCACCAACAUGACUCACAACAUGGAAGUCAACCGUUUCGUGAAGAGUGCUCCAGAAUUUGCUCGUGAAGCUUUAAACACUGUGGGUCACUCCAGCUACACCAGCGGUUGUUUGUCUCACGCGCUGCAGAACGUGGCUCUCACGGUGCUCUUUCCGGACUGGUUUCGUAUGUCGACAUUCCUCAUCAGAAACCUAAAAAAACUUCCAAAAAUGGGGAAAUCUGACAGGAGAGUAUGUAAGGAAAACCAGAGGCUUCAGCUCCAGAGACGGCAGGCGGGACGAGUCAACGGAGGCCGGGUGGACGAAGGCAUGCAGCUGAGUACAAUCUAGAAAACAACAGAGGAGGAGUGCAGCAGCCCAGAGCCAGAACAAACAGAGUAGCAUCACCAAAGAACUACAGACUCUUCACAACCUGCUCAAACUCUUGGUACAGGACCUCACCACACGGGUCAAGAAGGUUUCUGUCUCAUUUCUACUCUGAAGCUCACCUUCUCCUGCUCAAACUGCUGACAAAUGUUUCUGCUGCUCUAAAGUCUGGUCUCCAGAACUUCCUAAAAACUCUCAAAGUCUCUUCUGCUGCAGGUUGCUUUGUAGAACUGUUACAGAAAACCUCACUAAACCACAUGGAGGGGCCUUAAGAUAGUCGUCCAAAUGAAACCAUACAAAAACCAAACUAGUACAACCCAAACGCUAAAGUCUCCUGCAGCCUACCAGAGAACCUCUGAGAACAGAGAAUCAGAACAGGAACUCUUACCUUCUGGACAACCAACACUGGUUCUCAAACAAGAAUACAGAAUGUGUCUGACCAAACACCUCUAAAGACUCACUACAGCCAAGAUAAAGACACAACUCAGCUGGACCAAAUCCACUAAUCACUGCACACACUGUGGCUAAAGAACCACAUUUACCAAGACAACUAUCCAGUACAAAGCCCUAAAACACACAAGAAACACAUUAAAGAUGAUUUUACUGCUGGAAGCUGCAAGCCAACGCCUAAAGAACACACUAAAGCAAUGGAGCCGAACCCGGUUCAGUGGUGAAUAGAAGCAGAGGAAAUGUUUGUCUGCAGCUAAAUAAAGCAGGAAGACACUGAGCUGCUCAGGUGUUCCUGAUAACACCAAGCAGCCACCUGGACAGCCAAUAGGAACACAGCUUACUGGAAGUCCAGAGGGCUGGGUUAGUGAAGGAAAUUUAGUUUAAAGUUGAAGCAGAAAGUUAAUAAAGAAAGUUGAAAACCA